rnacentral:tRNA from 1 species
GUGUAGCUCAGUAGGUAGAGCGUCGAUCUAAUAAUUCGAAGGUCGCGGGUUCGAGACCCAUAUAUAUA